GCCUGGGUGGCUCAGUGGGUUGAGCGUCCGACUUCGGCUCAGGUCACAAUCUCACGGUUCGUGAGUUCGAGUCCCACGUCGGGCU
rnacentral:tRNA from 1 species